GAUGAACGCUGGCGGCGUGCCUAAUACAUGCAAGUCGAGCGAACGGACGAGAAGCUUGCUUCUCUGAUGUUAGCGGCGGACGGGUGAGUAACACGUGGAUAACCUACCUAUAAGACUGGGAUAACUUCGGGAAACCGGAGCUAAUACCGGAUAAUAUUUUGAACCGCAUGGUUCAAAAGUGAAAGACGGUCUUGCUGUCACUUAUAGAUGGAUCCGCGCUGCAUUAGCUAGUUGGUAAGGUAACGGCUUACCAAGGCAACGAUGCAUAGCCGACCUGAGAGGGCGAUCGGCCACACUGGAACUGAGACACGGUCCAGACUCCUACGGGAGGCAGCAGUAGGGGAUCUUCCGCAAUGGGCGAAAGCCUGACGGAGCAACGCCGCGUGAGUGAUGAAGGUCUUCGGAUCGUAAAACUCUGUUAUUAGGGAAGAACAUAUGUGUAAGUAACUGUGCACAUCUUGACGGUACCUAAUCAGAAAGCCACGGCUAACUACGUG
rnacentral:rRNA from 1 species